ensembl:lncRNA
CACUGGACAAAUGAUCUCUGAGGUUCCUCUGAGUUCAGACUUUCUGGGAUGCCUCCCAGGGCCACAUUUUUCCAGAAGCUUCCCAGACCUCACCAUCCCUUCAGUUGGGAUUGUGGCCAUCUCUGAACCCACAACUAGCUUUCCUUUCUCCCUUCUGCUGUCUACUUACCAGCCCCAGUGCUGGCAGCUUUCUCCUACACUGUGUCGGGGUCCCACCCUGCAGAGUGGCUCCAGGAGGGUACCAGGUGUGCUCGCGGAGCCUGCACUGGAACUUGCACCUGCUUGACUCCAACUUCUUAACGAUUUUGCUCAGCUGCCUGUGUUCUCUGGAAAACGUGCUUUAAGCAACUCUAUUAAACAGUAUUUUUCACGCUCUCAGGCCCACAUGCGGCAUAGACUCCAAGAGUUAAUGGGCUAUCCUGGCCUGGGUCACCAGCAGAUACUGCUGAGAGCCAGCUGGAGGGGCUGGCACAGAGAAGGCCAGUAGGCUGGGUGCCUGGGCCCAGACUAGAACAGCACAGCAUGACCCCUGGGAGCCAGCAGCCCUAAGCCGUGAUGUGGGGAGGCCCGCGUUGCCAAGCGUUCCCUCUGCUGGGGUCUGUUUGUGGGCCAUCUGUACGGGGGUGGAGGAGCUCAGCGAGCUGGUUCUCCCCGUGCUGUUAAGAGGCCCCACUGCCUGAGCCCAGGCUGGGCAUGGAGGUGAUUAACGCACAAUGACUGGAGAAUCGGCUGCUGCCCUCGCUGGGGAGCAGUAAUUUGCUCGGCGCUGUUUCCCUCAUCAAAGGGGGUGAGCAGGUGGGCAGGCCUGAUGGAUUUCCCUCUGGCAGGGGCUUGGCUUCAUUCUCAUCACCCAGGUCUGAGUUAAUCCUGGCCCGAGCAGCCUUCUCUAGGUGGGCUGGGCAGGGGCAGGUGGCUAGGGGAAGGAAGGAAGCAGGGAGGGGUUCUGUCCAGCUGCCUGAGGCCAAGGCUUUGCAGGGGCAGAAAGUGAGGAGGGGACUGGAGAUGUCACUUGGGUCACCACGAAUUCCCCUGUGACAAUAAGGACUUCCGUUGCCCGUGCAGGCCGGGGAAGCCAUGACUGGCUGGGGGCAGAGUGGAAGCUCUCUCACAGCCUCAUACAACUGGCUGCGCCGUGGGCCUCUGCUGGGGCUGCGCUGGGGCUGCAGCCAGAGGCUCAGAGUCUUCUACUCCCCACCAGGGGGCGGAUUCUCGGGGAUCCAGGAGACUCAUCUAGAGAGCCGAGAGCAUUCGAGAACCUCUCCCUCUCCUCAUGCGUGUCAUGGGCAGUCCACACCUGAUGUCUCUUGUGGCCUCCUGGCCUCGGGUGGCGGUCACCACUGGUGGAAUCCGUGGUCCUGGCUCUCUCUCUGUGGACAGGCCCUUCUUGGCUGGCUUUACCUCAGUUGGGAGCUGGCUGGCUGGGAGACCCCCCGAGUCUCAGCUGUGGGCCCCAAGGCUCAUCUCCUGGCUCUCAGCUGCCCUCAGUGCCCCACGUUCCCCUCAAGGGGCUGCCGGGUCCCCUGGUGCACCAAGAGAAACUGAGCGUCUCCCGGGAAAGCCAGACUUGAGGGCCUCUCUCUGUCCUGGUUACUGGCCGUGGUCACCCCCUAGGUAGAUGCAGGGGCCAUCUUUUCAGAGUUCUGAUGAGAAGGGGGUGGUCCCUCUUGGGGCCUGUAUUAGUUUCCUGGGGCCCCACAAAC